UAGCUACACUGUUCACUAAGGAUAACAAUAGCUACACUGUACACUAAGGAUAACGAUAUUUACAAUGUACACUAAGCUUAUUGUUCACUUAAUAUCUUUGGUGAAAUCCAUGAAGAAUAAGAACCUUGUUGAAAUGCUUGUGAUAACUAUGCUAGUUUAAUUGUUUAUUUGUUAGGAAAUUAUGGCAGAUAAAUGUAACAUGUAUGUAUAAAAGACAGGGAUGAUAGACCAAGAAAGUCAGAAUUCAAAUGUUAAAAGUCUGUUCUACAAAGACCUGAUAAAAUUCUCCAGAAAACAAAACCUAAUUUUGUUAUCCCUGACAAAAGUUUAUGUUAACAUUUUCUUAAACUAUUUUUGUUGAUUUGAAUAUUGAGAAUUAAGAUUGUAAUUGCAGAUGUACUUAUUGAUAUGAAUUUUUCAGGGUACCUUGUUCGAUGAAGUAUUUUGAUAUUUUUUGAAAUCCUCUCAAGAUUUGGUUGAUUGUCUAGUACAUAUACAUACAUUGUGUGUAUAAUUGAUUAUACGAAAUUCUGAUAGUUAUAGAUAAUUAGUUAUUUCCUGACACAUACAAAGACAUAACUUAUCCUUCUCUUCUCUAUAAGUUAAACAGACUACAAUCAGCAAUUUAUAUAAAGAAUUCUUAAAUUCUGUCUUCCUAGGGAGUAGUGAGGAUUAAAUAACCAUAAGCAAUAUCAGAAGAAUGUGUAUUGUACUUGAAGUGUUGUGAUUUUUGUAAGAAAUCAUCCAUUACGUGAAUUCUGUAUCAGUAAUAGUUUGAAACUGGCUACUGGUUACAUGAACAAUUACCUGUGGACAUCUAUAUAUGUAGCUGAUGUAAGGUAUUACAUAAUUAUGUACAUGGCAUUCAGCCACAGGGAAAUCUUGUCAGUCAUGGGUGCGCUUACCUGUGGGCAUCAGGUGAUGCAAGGUGCUAUAAUGCAGGCACGAGUACUGUAUUAAUAUGUCUCAGAUAAUUUCCACUUCAUACUUACUGUAUAGCAGGAAAAUGACUCGCGUAGUUUAUGUUCGUUGAUUUGCUGCAAAUGAAAAAAUCGCUAUCUUUUCCAACCGCGAUUUUAAGCUGCUAUACUGCACUUAAUUUUUUAACAUACACUGUAGGUAGAUGUUGCUUUUUCUUUUUGUAUACUCAAGAGUGAAUAUUUUUUGAUUGUUGAUCAUGUGAUAGAUUAUUUACUGUUAUAAUAAUUAUGUAACAAUUAUUUAUUGAUUUUUCAUGUAAUGCCAUAAAUAAGUAUAGGAAUGAUUGUUGUUUUAAAUGGAUUGAAAAUAAUGAAGGCAAGCACUAUGAUUGAAAUAAAAUUGUCAAAAUCU
rnacentral:misc_RNA from 1 species